CCAGCCUGGAAACAGGUCAGGAGCACCCCGCGGGGGACACGCGCGCCGCCGCGGCCGCUCCAGAGGGCUGUGCGCACGCGGGGGACCGGCGCCACCGGGGGUGGCGGGGUCCGGAGUGCCCCCUCCCAGGGAAAUCGGCACUGGCGCACGUGGGCAGGUGAUACCGGAAACAAAGAAAGGGCUGAGCCCUCCAAGUUUAAGAGAAAAAGGAAGAAAAGUUGAAUGGAAAGCAGAGCUCCAACCCCUCUGUGUGGAUCUUGCGUGGCUUGCAGUGGGAACAUUUCAUUCCUCAGAUGUUAGGUUUUUUUCCCCUUCCUACCGUUGAAGACGACUAGCAGAAUCAGCGAAAGGUCCUCGUUCGAGAAUUUUGACGUUCGGAUUUGACUGCCAAAGUGAAUUCUGUGCCAAGCCUAACAUGCGUUCUUGUGGUGUUCACAAGUAAAAAUUUAAGUUUGCCAGGAAUAAAGAUGUCCCAAAAGAAUGCUUUGUAUUAGACACUCGUUCUUCAACAAACCUUAAUUUUAUGAACCUCAAAAAAAAUGCAAAAAUUUAACAACUAGGGUGCAAUAUUUUAUCGAUCGGCAUUCUUAAUAGUACCUAUGUUGACAAUUUGAGUAGUGAAACGUCCUUAAAAGUGCUGGUGGCAUUGAAAAUUAGUAUAACCCUUUUGAAAAGCAAUUUUACUGUACGUAUUAAAAGCCAUAAAAAACGUCUGCAUCUGUUGACCCAGUAAUCUUACUUCUGGGAAUCUAUUCUAAGGAAAUAACACUAAAUGCCAAAAAAGCUGUAUGUGUGAAGGUAUUCUUCAUAGGAUCACUGUAUUUAUUACAACAAAAACUUGGAAGCAUCCUAAACAUGCUAAUAAUGUUGGGUAUUUAGUAAGUACAUUGUUUUAUAUCCACACAAUGGAGCAUUAUGGUAGUCAUAGACCUCAGAAUAGCUUACCCAUUGCUAGGUGAGGGGGAAACUGUUCAUUUAUCAUAUGUGUUUCUAGUUAAAAAAAAAAAAACUGGAUUUUGUUAAAGGUUAAUACAAAAUACACUAAAGAAAUAACAUUCAGGUGAUGAGGAAUGGGGUUGUUUUUUAAUUGUCUCUGUUAUCUAUAACAUGGUCCUAACUAUACAGCUUUUAUAAUUGAAACAUGUAUUGAAAUUAAAACAGGAUUUUAUCCAGUGCCUAAUGGAGGCCAGACACUGUUAGGUUCUGAGGAUGUAAAGGUGAAUAAAGUUGAGCGUCUCCCUCCACAGGUCUCGCAGCCUAGCAGGGGCUAACAAACACAAACAACAGGUCACAAGUCAAGCUGCAGUGGGGACGACACGGAGGUCAUGAAUGUCACCGGAACUUGAAAUAAGCAAGGCUGUCAUAGCAGAAAGCACCUGUGGGGAAGCUUCUUAGACUCGGGCAGAAAUGGCAGUUUUCAAAGUGCAACCUGGAAAUCUGGGGAAGUGAGGGUAUCCUCGGGACUCUUUCUGUGGGUCAACAAGGUCAAAACUGUCUUCCUAACAAUACUACGUCAGUCUCUUACGCAUGUACGGUGGAGUUUUCCAGAAGUCACAUAAUACAUGACGUCAAAACAGACUGAGAGCAGAAGCAGCUAGGAGAAUCUAGUUGUCUC
rnacentral:lncRNA from 1 species